rnacentral:piRNA from 1 species
UACCAAAUUGAAGCCAUGUAGGGUAGU